rnacentral:lncRNA from 1 species
GUAUUUUCUAAGUUUUCUUUAUUAAUUACUUCUUGUUUUUCAUUUAUUUCUAGUUUUUCUAUAUUUGUUAAGAUUUCUGUAUAUGUUUCACUAUUUUCCGAAUCAUAAUUAUCUGCUUCUUCAGCAUCUAUUGUAUUUAUUUUUAUUUCAUUAGUUUCUAAUUCUUUAUUUCUUUCUUCUAAUUCUUUUUUAAAUUGAUUUAUCUUAGUUAAUAAUUUUUGUUUUUUAUCUUUUUCUGUGUUUUUUCAUACAGAUCUUUUAGCAUUUAUAGUUCUUUUUCUAAUUCAGCAAUCC